rnacentral:rRNA from 1 species
UAGGGAAUCUUCCACAAUGGGCGCAAGCCUGAUGGAGCAACACCGCGUGAGUGAAGAGGGGUUUCGGCUCGUAAAGCUCUGUUGUUAAAGAAGAACACGUAUGAGAGUAACUGUUCAUACGUUGACGGUAUUUAACCAGAAAGUCACGGCUAACUACGUGACAG